ACAGCCAUAUCAUGUUGAAACACGGGUUCUCAUCCAAUCAUCAAAGUUAAGCAAUAUUGAGCCUAUUCAGUACCUAGACGGGUAACUGCUUAGAAGUACCAGGUGCUGUG